UCUCUGAUAGCUCAGUUGGUAAAAGAAUCUGCCUGCAAUGCAGGAGACCCUGGUUCAAUUCCUGGGUUGAGAA
rnacentral:tRNA from 1 species